CGAAGCGGAUGUUUACCAUAAGUUAUUGUUGACAUAUUCAUCAAAGCAGGGACGACAAGAUUUCAGUCGAGUCCCAACGAACCCUUGCGACAGUUGAAAGGCAAAUAUAGCUUGCAACUCCAACCCGCAUCACAGUACAUGCAGAAAAAUUCAGAAAAAAUUAGAGAAUGUCAAAAUAAAUCUGGAGAGUAAAAAGAUGAUGUACCUGUCCAACAUCUCCCGCCCGUCCAAAUAUUAUUUGUUGUGGACUGCUCAAUAAAAUAUUUAAAAUAAUUUUCCCGCCAUGGGUGACAUUAAACUGGUUGUGGUGGGGAUGGGAAUGUGGGGAAGACCUCUCUCCUCACUAUACGUACGCCACUGGUGUUUUCCACUCGGAAUCCGUCCCCACGGUGUUUGACAAUCACACCUUUACUUUUACAGUAGAAGGGAAACCAUACAGUGUGUCACUCUUUGACACGGCUGAGCAUAUGAGUGAUUUCCAUCCAUUGACUGUUUAGUAUAUGUAUGAAUUGGUAUGAAAUGUAUCUGUUCAAUCGUCAACUUCCCUACCUUAUGCUGCAAUUAUAUAGCCGUUAUAAGUUAUCGUCUGCAUACGAGGCUUAAUUAUAUCUCUCAGUUGAUUCAAAACUCAAGGGGAUGCUAAAUUAACACGUUUGAACAAUUUCUUAAACCGUGCGAGGAAAGUUUUUACCAAAGUUGAUGAAAAUAGAGACUAUACAACCAUUCUCGUUUCAAGUCAUCAUUUCCAUGAUUUUAUAUGUUCUACCGUCGAUACAUUGACGCUGUCGGCAAAUACAAUCUGCAAUUGAGUCAAAUCGCUUUACAUACAAAUUGUUAGGCUACUGUAUAUUUACAACACACUGAAAGCUGGAAGGAAGCACACGGCGUGAGUUGUUUACUCCUCCAUGGCACCUGAUCCUACCUUUGAUGUAUAAGAAGUCCGUGUUUUCUCUGCUCCUGAUUUGUAAUGUUUAAUGGGCUUUUGAGCUUGAAUACUGUUAGUUGCCUUCAUGUAUUUCAUCCAUAUAAAGAUUCUGCUGGUAAAUAUUUAAAACAAAAGCCAAUAUCAAAAAUUGAGUGGAGUAUAUGUGACACACUUGUGAAAUUCACUAACCAAUAAACUACUCUUUAGAGAAGUUAUAUAGAAAACGGCUGGCCGGAUUUAUCUUAUGCUUUUAAAUUAGUCUCACAUGCAAAACUUUCAUUUACUCACAAACAAGAUGUAUCAAGGUGCACACGCACAUUUAUCUUAAUUAACCUUAAAUUGGACAGACUACGAUUUCCUGUGUACCUUAUAACUCUCUCUCUCUCUCUCUCUCCUGUUUAUUGGUUGGAAGGGUAUUCAUGACAGACUAUGCUUUCUUGCAUACCUUGUAAUGAAAAUAUUAUAGAUAACGAACCGAAAUCAAGCUCAAAAUAUACAAUUGGAAUCAAAUGACAUGGAGGAGUAAGCAUCCCCUGUCGACCGCCCGAAUUCGCCGCAGUGUGAAAAUAAUGCCCUAAUAGCUGGUAUUUAGUGCUAGUGUUUUUUAAGGGAUGGGUCUCACAAAAUACACUAUUUUGCGUUCCUUAUAACUGAUAUAUUUCUCGAUCCUGUAGGUUGAUAAGAAGGGUAUGACUGACUACGCUAAUUAGCGUACUUUAUAACUGAUGUCUUUCUCCUGUGUUUUUAUAGGACGGGUAUGGCAGAUAACGCUAAUUAGAGUACUUUAUCACUGAUGUCUUUCUCCUGUGUUUUUAUAGGACGGGUAUGACAGACAACGCUAAUUAGCGUACUUUAUCACUGAUGUCUUUUCUCCUGUGUUUUUAUAGGAUGAGUAUGACAGAGUAAGCUAAUUAGCGUACUUUAUCACUGAUGUCUUUUCUCUUGUGUUUUUAUAG